GUAUAGCUAUAUCAGAUCACUACUCCAUCCAGGCUGGAGAACUCUUCUUCCAAAAGCCAGGUUGUACCCAAAAUUGUGGCUGUACUUCUUCCACUACUGAAUUUAGAGUUUAUCUGUGUCUCCAUGCAGAAGGGCUGCAUUGGACUAGGUGUAUACCACCAGAUGUUUCUGUCAGCUGAGCAGGAGUCUCUGAUCUGCCUCUGUGAAGACAGCCUGUAAUAGACUACUCAAGCUUGUUUUCAAGACCAUAAGACUGAAAAGGAGUAUAUCCUUGGGCUCAUCUCCACUUAGCCUUAUUCUAACUACCAAGGAUGCUUUUUAAAAGCCUCUUUAUCACCAUAAUUGAGAGGAGGGGCUGAUACACCGGAGGCUACUGCUGCCAUUCAGUAGGACUUCAAGCAAGAAUCUGAAGAAAUGAAUUGACAUGAACCUCAUGAAACAAUGGGAAGUGCAAAGUUCUGCACCUAGCAAAGAACAACUCCAGGCACCAGCUGGGAGACACCCAGCUGCAAAGCAGCUUGGCAGAAAAGGUCAUGUCAGUCAUUCCAUUGGACACCACAUUGACCCUGAGCCAGCAAUGCCAUUUUCUUUAUUCCAUCAUAGUUGUUUCUGAUUGCUGAACUAAAUAUCCAUUAAGAUUCACAGAUGUGGAGAGCGCAGGUCACUGCGGGACAGUAAUGAAGUGUGGAAGGGUGUAAAGUUCUCUUUCAGCCACAGGUAAUAAACAACUGAAUGGUGCAUGUUUUUGAAGAAAACAGGAGUAAAUCUUCAAGGCUGUUAACUUAACAACUUUGUGGAAAAGCAAUGUGUUGCAACAACUGUUGCCAAGACUGUAUUCACAAACAGAAGUGCAUGAGGUUGUCCAUGGACUCUACCACCUAAAGACACAAGCACUGGAUUCUAGCUUGUAGUUAGUGCUCAUGGUAGACUGAUGAUUUUUUUAAAAAAUCAAAAUCACAUAUCUAUAAAACAUAGAGGUGGA